UGCAGCUCAUACUUGUGCACUUAUUAAUUAAGAUAGAGCUGUUGCUUUUUCUCCUGUGAAGGUAUGGAAUGGAAGCUGUGGGUCUCAUGCUGGAAAGCAGGCUUGCCUGGCCCAGCCCUCUUGGCUUUCUGCCAUCGUUUGCACCUCGGUGUCUUGUUGGGCCCAGACAUCCACCCCUCACUGGGCUCUCAUCCAAAGACAGGAGAGGGAAGGGCCAAAGAGCAAGGAACCUCGGGGGCUGCAGUACUUAGGAUGGUUAUGCUUCCACAGAGGAAAUGCCAGGAGAGGUGGCCCUGGAGCUAGAGGCCCUUAUGAGGUGCAGGAGGCACAGCGAGCAGAGCCCUGGGCACUGAGCAUUGUGUUCAGAGGAAACAGCUGCAUCCCAGCCAAGGCCGGAGUAACAGGUGUGUUCCCAACUGAGAAAACGGUGCAGUUUCAUCUUCUGAAUCCAAGAACGGAAGCACAAUGGGACCUGGGCAUCCAGUACUACUCACUCAGGAGCACAUGUGACCAGCCCCUCAGAGCCUCUGAGGGAGACAAUUGGAGCUAGGAGUGGACCCAGAAGCAGCCUGCUGGAGGAAGCUGCAAAUGUGAUCAUCAUGAGGCUGGAGAUGCUGAAGAUCGGUGAACAUUCCCAGUGACUCUGGCUCAAUCUGGGACCCUGGCCAGAGCUACUGGUCACCAACACUAUGCAGGGUUUGGGGCUUCAGUGCCUCCCAAGAUGGAUCUGCAGGUUCUUGACAGGUAACAAGGUGACCCCUGUCUGCUACUGACCCCUCAAGCUGGUCGGCACAGGUUUAUAAUGAACACCACGGUGUCAUGUCAGACUCGGCCCCAGUAUGAGACCAGGGGAUGCUGAGUGUCUGCAUUUCAGCAAAAUGUAACCCAUCUGUUUCUAGGCAUUUGCCUGAGACAGAUUGUGGUCUAGCCGUCCAAGGGGGAUGUGGUGUCUGAAAGCCCCUUAAAAAGCUGAUUCAAGGUUUAUUCUCUCUUUUGAAGAGGUGAGUCAUGUUUCACCAGCAGAUACUUGUGACUCAUUUUUAAAAAAGGGUUUUCAUACUCUAAGCUGGUGGGGUUGAAGAGAAUUACAAAUCUGUGAGCCUUUCCCCAUCUUUCUUACAUCUGGAUGGAAAACACAAGCUCAUAUUCAAGGAGGUCCUCAAAGCUGGACUGUGGCGUUUUGCACACAUUAUGAAGUUAUUUCUACUUUUGGUUCUGAACCAGAAUUGAGCCCAGAACCACCAGGGCUACCCCUCCAGGGUCACCUGGAGAAUGGUUUCUGUGGUGAUGGCUGGAAUUGGGCUGGUGGUCCCAACUGAGCCACAGGUCGGGCCUCUUAACUGCACCAGGGUUAGAAGAUGCUCCUGGAAGGGGUGGAAACAACUUUCCUCCAGGCAAUACAACGUCUGUGGUUGGGGGAUUGCCUUGGAGAGAACCUGAUUGGGAUUUUCCUGGGUAAGAGUUCUGAAACUUUUCCAAGUCGUUAGAGAAAGCCUGUCCAAGCAAUU
rnacentral:lncRNA from 1 species